rnacentral:rRNA from 1 species
UUAAUACGCCAGAAGAGCGUGUGGUGGAUGCCUUGGGAACAGACGACGAAGAAGGACGCGGCUAGCGGCGAAACGUCUCGGGGAGGUGCUGAGCAACCUUUGAUCCGAGAAUAUCCGAAUGGGGAAACCCUAUACGAGUCAUGUCGUAUAAUCCAUAUGCUGCAAGGUAUAUGAGAAGUGAGACUAGGCGAACUGAAACAUCUAAGUAGCCUGAGGAAAAGGAAAAAAUAACCACAUCUUUUUUAUUUCGUGUGCGACUUUAAAAAUCGCACUGAAGUAAAAAUUGGUGUGAACAUUCCCAGAGUAGUGGCGAGCGAAAUGGGAUCAGCCCAAACCAAUUGUGUGUCAAGGCGUAUACCGUUGCACAGUUGGGGUUGUAAGAUAUGGAUGUGGAGCCUAUACGGGCUUCGGCAUUAAUGACAAUCGUCGAGUAGAAGGUCGCUGGAAUGCGCCGCCAAAGAGGGUAACAGCCCCGUAAACGAAGACAAAUUGACUGAUGCUGUCCAGGUCUUGAGUACAACAAAACCGGUGAAAUUUUGUUGGAAGCAGCGAGCACUACAAACCAGAUCUCACUCUGUGCCUUCACGGGUAUAGAGUGAGAUACUCGCAAGGCGAAAUACGUCUGUUCACCGAUAGCGAACAAGUACCGUAAGGGAAAGGUGAAAAGCAGCCCGGUGAGGGCGUUGAAAUAGUUCUGAAACCACAUCGCUUACAAAGGGUCGGAGCUCGAGUGAUCGAAGGAAGAAGAGGAGGACACAAACUAUGACACUGUAUGGCCUUAUUAAGGUUACAGCAGGAUUAGGCGUCUUGGGCGUAUUCUUUUGCGUGUAUUUUUGGGACAUUUUUGUCCCGUUGUUCAUCAAAAGAAAAUAGCGUCCCGGCUGUCCCACGUCUAUCCCUUCGGGGAUGGUCGUUCCAUCCCCCCUUUCUUCCUUCGAUUGCCGGGUCACGGCGUGCUUUUUGCAGAACGAGCCAACGAGUUUACUGUCAUUCGUCUUUAGGUUAAGGUGCGACACGCACUGGAGCCGCAGCGAAAGCGAGUGUUAAUAGCGCGUCAUUUCCCGCAAGGGAAAGGAUGGAUGGCAUAAAGACCCGAAACCAGACGAGCUACCCUUGAUCAGGUUGAAGCGUCGCCUAACGGCGCGUGGAGGACCGAACCGGUCAGCCGUGCAAUACUGUCGGAUGAAUUGAGGGUAGGAGUGAAAAGCUAAUCGAGUUUGGAAAUAGCUGGUUCUCUCCGAAAUAGUCUUUGAACUAGCCUCGAAGCGUAACCCGCGGGGUAGAGCACUGAAUGGAUCCGUCCGUCGCAAGACGGCGGCUCCAAUCAAACUCCGAAUACGCGUGGUGAGACUUCGGGAGUCAGAACACGGGGGCUAAGCUCCGUGCUCAAAAGGGAAACAGCCCAAGAUCGCAGCCUAAGGUCCCUAAGUGCGAGUUAAGUGGCGAAGGAAGUGGAAAACCCCAGACAGCGCGGAUGUUGGCUUAGAAGCAGCCACCAUUUUAAGAUAGCGUAACAGCUCUCGCGUCGAGGUUUUUUGCACCGAAAAUAUAACGGGGCUAAACCGCCACCGAAGGCGCGGACUUAAACAACACGUUUGUUUAAUUGGUAGGAGAGCAUU